GAUGAACGCUGGCGGCGUGCCUAAUACAUGCAAGUCGAGCGAACAGACGAUGAGCUUGCUCCUCUCACGUUAGCGGCACGCGGGUGAGUAACACGUGUAUAACCUACCUAUAAUUGUGGGAUAACUUCGGGAAACCGGAGCUAAUACCGGAUGAUCUCUUGAACCACAUGGUUCAAUAGUGAAAGACGGUUUUGCUGUCUCGUCUAGAUGGAUCUGGGCCGCAUUAGCUAGUUGUUACGGUAACGGCUUUCCACGGCAACGAUGCGUAGACGACCUGAGAGGGUGAUCGGCCACACUGGAACUGAGACACGGACCAGGCUCCUAAGGGAGGCAGCAGUAGGGAACGGGACGCAAUGGGCGAAAGCCUGACGGAGCAACGCCGAGUGAGUGAUGAAGGUCUUGGGAUCGUAAAACUCUGUUAUUAGGGAAGAACAACUGUGUAAGUAAAUAUGCACGUAUUGACGGUACCUGAUCAGAAAGCAACGGCUAACUACGUG
rnacentral:rRNA from 1 species